GAUGAACGCUGGCGGCGUGCCUAAUACAUGCAAGUCGAGCGAACAGACGAGGAGCUUGCUCCUCUGACGUUAGCGGCGGACGGGUGAGUAACACGUGGAUAACCUACCUAUAAGACUGGGAUAACUUCGGGAAACCGGAGCUAAUACCGGAUAAUAUAUUGAACCGCAUGGUUCAAUAGUGAAAGACGGCUUUGCUGUCACUUAUAGCUGGAUCCGCGCCGCAUUAGCUAGUUGGUAAGGUAACGGCUUACCAAGGCGACGAUGCGUAGCCGACCUGAGAGGGUGAUCGGCCACACUGGAACUGAGACACGGUCCAGACUCCUACGGGAGGCAGCAGUAGGGAAUCUUACGCAAUGGGCGAAAGCCUGACGGAGCAACGCCGCGUGAGUGAUGAAGGUCUUCGGAUCGUAAAACUCUGUUAUUAGGGAAGAACAAAUGUGUAAGUAACUAUGCACGUCUUGACGGUACCUAAUCAGAAAGCCACGGCUAACUACGUG
rnacentral:rRNA from 1 species